UGCAGUCUGUGCCAGCAUCUGCGGUAAUUCCAGCUCCAAUAGCGUAUAUGUAAAUUGUUGCGGUUGAAAAGCUCGUAGUUGGACUUCUGAUGGCCGAGAUCGGUCCGCCACGUGCGAGCACUGGUCUCGGUCGUCGUUUCUGUCGACGUGGCUCGUCGGACUUAAUUGAUCGGCUUGCUAUCUGUCGACGAUGUUACUUUGAGGAAAUCAGAGUGCUCAAGGCAAGCGUUCGCUCGUGACUUCACUAGCAUGGAAUAACACAGAUGGGCUCUUUCUCGCAAUGUUGGUCUGCGUCAAUUGAGCAACGAUCGAUAGAGACGGUCGGGGGCAUUCGUAUUGCGCAGUUAGAGGUGAAAUUCUCCGAUCUGCGCAAGACGCACUAAUGCGAAAGCAGUUGCCAAGGACGUCCUCUUAUGAUCAAGAGCGAAAGUCGGGGGAUCAAAGAUGAUUAGAUACCGUCGUAGUCCCGACCAUAAAUGAUGCCGACUGAGCUUCGGCGACUCGGCCUUAGGCCGGACGUCGGCGCUCUUAGAGAAAUUAAAGUCUUUGGGCUCCGGGGGUAGUAUGGUCGCAAGUCUGAAACUUGAAGGAAUUGACGGAAGGGCACCACAAGGCGUGGAUGUUGCGGCUUAAUUUGACUCAACACGGGAAAGCUUACUAGGUUUGGACACUUGAAUGAGGGACAUAUUGAAGCUCUUACCUUUUUUUGUGGAUGGUGGUGCAUGGUCGUUCUCAGCCCGUGGGUUGACCUGUCAGGUUUACUCCGGUAACGCGCGAGACCUCGGUUUGCUAAAUAGACGUGGCUGUUUCGACACCCGCGCUCUUCUUAGAGAGAGACUCGACGAGAGUCGAGGGAAGUCGAGGCAAUAACAGAUCUGUGAUGCCCUUAGUUAUCCUAGGUCGCACGCGCCAUACAAUGUGGCGCACAACGAGUCUCCUAGGCCGACAGGAAAUCUCGUGCGCGUCUCCGCCGCAGCCCCUCGGUCGGCGCGGCCACUCGUUCGAGAGCGGUCCGCCCUCCGUCGUCGGCGGUGGCGCGAGGCCGCACGAGAGGUUCUGGGCAAUCUGACAGAGCGCUACGUGACUGGGCUAGACUUUUGUAAUUGUUGGUCUUGAACGAGGAAUGCCUAGUAAUCGCAGGUCAUCAUCCUGAGAUGAUUAGGUCCCUGCCCUUUGUACACACCGCCCGUCGCUCCAUCCGUGGCAUGCGCCGGUGAAGAGGGGGAGGCAGCGUCAUCCG
rnacentral:rRNA from 1 species